rnacentral:lncRNA from 1 species
AUGAGUUACUUUUUUCUUCUCAGAUGGAAGCCGAACACUACCUUACGGCAAACGCCAAAGGUUGGACAAUGCAGACCUAUUCGAAGGUAUUGGAGCCAUUGGAGUUUGAUGGUAUUUACCCAUGUCCACGCUACAAUGAUGAUCUUUGAACUCUCUCUUGCCGAAUCCAACUUUGAAGAAACUUCUUUACCAGAUUCUGAGUAACCCAACGGAGCCCACCUCAGUUCAAUAAGACUUGACGAGAUUUAAAAUCCCCUUUUUCUCACAGACUGUAUGGACAGAACAAGGAUGAUGGCUGCCUAGAAUGGUGAGUGUUCCGUUUUUUAAUAACUGAAUAAAAUGACGGGGUGUAGUGAUGAUUAUCCAAUAGACAAGCAUAUGGCUGAUUUUUAGUGAUGCCAAUUUUAAUCUGAUUAACCUCAAGAGACUGUUUCAUCUUAAACUACAGUUUCUAGAAGUGUGGCUAACAAGUUCUCUCUGCAGGUGGGAAUGUGAAAUAGCUUCACAAACCUGGACUUCGGCCAGUUUGUCCAAUGGAGGACAUUGUUGAGGUGAGUCCCACAAGAUCUUAAUGCUAGUCAACUUUACCGUGUUUCAAUGACGAUAAACCUAGCUCACUUUGAACCGAUGUGAAACUAUACAAACUUACUGAGAAACUUCAGAUUCCAUAUGAAUGGGACUAUAUUGGAAAGUUGCUAAUGUCUAUUUCUGCCAACAGACAUGGGAGUUGAUGGAGGACAUGGGAGUUGAUGGUGUGGUGAGAUUGUCAUUCAAAACCGCCCAUAAUUAAAGGUGAGGAUUCGUAUUUGUAAAAAAAAAAAUAAAAAAGUAUAUCGGUCGGCUUGAAAUGAUGAUCAUAAAUUAGAAUCUCGUUCGUCUGAAUUACUGAUGAGAAACCUAACCUGACUCAGGCCUAGGUAAUCUGCUGGAUUAAUGGGACCAUUUCUGUCAAAGCCUAACCAUCUCAUUUUGCUUUAGGUGUCAUGGUGCUGGUGUUAAGAGACUACUUCUACUCCAACCAAGGUGGGUG